GCCUCGUUAGCUUAGCCCGGCAAAAGCACUGGAUUGUCGAUCCAGGGAUCACGAGUUCGAAUCUCGUACGAGGCGCCA
rnacentral:tRNA from 1 species